rnacentral:rRNA from 1 species
ACUCCUACGGGAGGCAGCAGUGGGAAGUAUUGCACAAUGGCGGCAAGCCUGAUGCAGCCAUGCCGCGCUGUAUGAAGAAGGCCAAUUCGGGCUUUGGUUAAAGAUACUUUUCAGCAGUGAGGAAAGGGUGGAUAUGUUAAUAGCAUAUUCAUUUGACGUUAGCUGCAGAAGAAGCACCGGCUAACUCCGUGCCAGCAGCCGCGGUAAUACGGAGGGUGCGAGCGUUAAUCGGAAUUACUGGGCGUAAAGCGCAUGCAGGUGGUUUGUUAAGUCAGAUGUGAAAGCCC